UGUGUCUACUCAAUCUUCAAUGCCGUUUAA
rnacentral:piRNA from 1 species